CUCCUCCUCCUCCUCCUCCUCCUCCUCCUCCUCAUCCUCAUCGGUGUCCUUGUGAUAAGCAGUCCAUCUCCAGGUUUGCCUCAUCAAAGAGGACGCAGACAGCGGAGACGUGCGGUCCGUCACAGACCUGGUCCAGCUGGGCUGUUUCAACUCGUUCAUUGUUGGCGUUCUGCCACUACUGAAGGGAGAACCAAACCAACGUGUCCUAACACCCUACCUGCGGCAGCAAAGUGGCUGCUCUUGCACUGAAAGACUUAAACGGUUUCGCGGCAUCUCCCACGGAGGAACUGGAUCCUGCCUUGCAUCAGCCCUGCCCUGACAACACGUGGUGCCAUCCGGGGAGGAAGGACACUGGCUCUGUACCUUCCACGGAGGAAUUAGACCCUGCCCUGAUAACAGGUGGUGCCAUCCAGGGAGGGAGGACAGUAUUUUGCUGUACUUUCCACGGAUGAAUUGGAUCCUGCCUUGCACGAGCUCUGACCUGACAAGAUAGGGUGCCAGGGAGGGAGGACACUGCUACACCUUUCAUUCAGGAAUUGGACCCUUCACUCAGGAAUUGGACCCUGUCGUGACGAUACUUGGUGCCAUUCCAAGGAGGGAAGACGGACUGCCUCGCUCCAUCUCACCUAACCUAACAAAUACAUGCCAAUCACAGUU